rnacentral:rRNA from 1 species
UACGUAGGGUGCAAGCGUUGUCCGGAAUUAUUGGGCGUAAAGAGCUCGUAGGCGGUCUGUCGCGUCGGAUGUGAAAACCCAGGGCUCAACCCUGGGCCUGCAUUCGAUACGGGCAGACUAGAGUUCGGUAGGGGGAGACUGGAAUUCCUGGUGUAGCGGUGAAAAUGCGCAGAUAUCAGGAGGAACACCGGUGGCGAAGGCGGCGCCUGGUCCGUGACUGACGCUGAGGCGCGAAAAGCGUGGGGGAGCAAAA